CCGUGGGAGGUUGUUUUAACACAAAGUGAUUGGUCUCGCUAACUACGAGGAUGAGUUACAGUGCUCUUUAAGUGUAAAGCGAGUAAGCAGUAUUGAUGCAGCUGUUGUCUGUUGUUGAUGAUUUUUCUUUCUUCCCUGCGGGGAAGUAGAAGGGAAAGAACACAGACUGAGUAGU
rnacentral:snoRNA from 1 species